GAUGAAGAACGUAGCGAAAUGCGAUAAGUAAUGUGAAUUGCAGAAUUCAGUGAAUCAUCGAAUCUUUGAACGCACAUUGCGCCCGCCAGUAUUCUGGCGGGCAUGCCUGUCUGAGCGUCAUUUCAACCCUCAUGCCCCUAGGGCGUGGUGUUGGGGAUCGGCCAAAGCCCGCGAGGGACGGCCGGCCCCUAAAUCUAGUGGCGGACCCGUCGUGGCCUCCUCUGCGAAGUAGUGAUAUUCCGCAUCGGAGAGCGAUGAGCCCCUGCCGUCAAACCCCCAACUUUCCAAGGUUGACCUCAGAUCAGGUAGGAAUACCCGCUGAACUUAAGCAUAUCAAUAAGCGGAGGA
rnacentral:misc_RNA from 1 species